rnacentral:rRNA from 1 species
UACGUAGGGGGCGAGCGUUAUCCGGAUUCACUGGGUGUAAAGGGAGCGUAGACGGCCAUGCAAGCCAGGGGUGAAGGCCCGGGGCCCAACCCCGGGACUGCCCUUGGAACUGCAUGGCUGGAGUGCGGGAGGGGCAGGCGGAAUUCCUGGUGUAGCGGUGAAAUGCGUAGAUAUCAGGAGGAACACCGGCGGCGAAGGCGGCCUGCUGGACCGCGACUGACGUUGAGGCUCGAAAGCGUGGGGAGCGAACAGG